GUCCGUAGCUCAGUUGGUUAGAGCGUGGUAAGUCUUGAACGCUACGACGACGGAUCUCUCAACCAGCAUCACUAACAGGGUUGAACUAGGUGCUAAUAACGCCAAGGUCGCGGGUUCGACCCCCUCCGGAACCA
rnacentral:tRNA from 1 species